ensembl:lncRNA LINC00511 long intergenic non-protein coding RNA 511
UUCUCAGGGCCUUCUGCCAAGGGCCCGCUUUGAUCUCCCUUAAAGGACAGCAUUAUCUGACCAGAGACCCAUGCAGGAGACCUCUCCAGGUACACAUAUUUCCUGCUACUGAAUGGCUUAGACUGGGAUUUGCAAGGAACUACGAAGUCCAAGACCUUUGCCUUUCUUUUAGAAGAAGGCACCAGCUGGUUCUCCAAUGUUGAAGGUCUUCUCCAGAGAUGGGCAUGCAGAAGGAGUGAAAAAACAAGAAGGAAGACAAGGAAGACAUUGUUUUGGCUGCUGACAUUUCCUGAAAGAUCUGAGGCGUCCCCUUCACUUCGGGCAUGGGACCCAGACGGCUGAGUGAUGGACCUUAAGGUGUGGGGAGAUUACAACUUGCUCAAGGUCUCAUAGCUAGAAGAUGUCAGAGUGAUAACUCAAACCAUGUCACAUGACUCUAAGCCCAAAGCAGCCUCUAGAAGGUUGUUUGAUCUUCUGAUGGAAGCACAAAUCACCAUUCCAACAUGAAAGAUGGAGAAACUUAAGUCUAGAGAGAUUUAAAGGACUUGUCAAAGGCAAUGAAACAAGUGAUGAGGAAACUGAGGCCCAGAGAGGAUAAAUGACUUGCUCAAGGUUAGCCAGUUGGUCAAUGGCAAAGAUUAAACCAGAACCCAGAUCUCCUCUCUCCAGCCAGAGUCUUCAAGCAAAGUCCCUAGGAGGUCAAGCCAACUCUUGCUGCUGCUGCUAAUCUAAGGACAGAUGUGGCCACUUUCUCCAAAGGAUCUCAGAGAGCUAACUUUAUGGCGUUUUACAGAAGUCCUAUCUUUCCUUCAGGGGAACCCCAUUCAUUUGCAAGAUGGAAGGCUAUUUUUAGCAUUGACUUUUAUUUUCUCCUAAGUGACUUCCUCUCUCAUGUACCAUUUGGCCUUCACAGUGGCUGAAAAGACAGUUCCUAGGAAAAUCUAGAACAUUUAAGCUUGCGUGUGUUGCAGUUCUUAGAACUCUGAAAGCCACAUGUUGAGAUGGCCCCAUUACAGGAUGGAGAGCACCUGAACCCCCAAGUUAUGGACUAGAAGAAGACAGUUGCCCUGGAAAAUCAUCUGACCCACAUUGGACUUUAUGUGAGGGGGAAAUAAACCUUUAUUAUGUUAAGCUACACAAUAAUAAAUAACAACAAUAA